rnacentral:rRNA from 1 species
AAGACCUUGCGCUUUUGGAGCGGCCGAUGCCUGAUUAGCUUGUUGGUAAGGUAAAAGCUUACCAAGGCUUCGAUCAGUAGCUGGUCUGAGAGGACGGCCAGCCACACUGGGACUGAGACACGGCCCAGACUCCUACGGGAGGCAGCAGUGGGGAAUUUUGGACAAUGGGGGCAACCCUGAUCCAGCCAUGCCGCGUGAGUGAAGAAGGCCUUCGGGUUGUAAAGCUCUUUCAGCCGGAACGAAACGGCUACGGUUAAUACCCGUGAUUACUGACGGUACCGGAAGAAGAAGCACCGGCUAACUACGUGCCAGCAGCCGCGGUAAUACGUAGGGUGCGAGCGUUAAUCGGAAUUACUGGGCGUAAAGCGUGCGCAGGUGGUUUUGUAAGUCAGAUGUGAAAGCCCCGGGCUCAACCUGGGAACU